GAAAAAAAAAGGGAAGACUAGGAGUGGGUUUGAGAGAAUCGAGGAGCCGCUGCUGAGACUUCGUCGAGAAUUGAGGAAAGCUGACUUCGUGAAGAAACUUGGCAGAAAUUCAGAAAUCGUCCGAGAUGGUAAGCGAAUUUCUAUGGAUCAAAUCUUAUUCUAUGUUAAGGCUAAAAUCAC